AAGGAUAAAAAAGAUAAGUAAGGUUAAUUCAGUCAAUUCACAGUUUCAGAAUUAACCAACUAAUGACAGUUAGUUAACUAACUAUCAAGAUUAGGAUGCCUAUAUAUAUAUACUUGUACCUUCGCACUUGUAACUAAUGAUUCAAUAAGAAAAUAUAAUAUGCAUUCUGUUUACUUACUGCCUUCUUCCUCUUCUUCUACUUUCUCUACAACUCUAAUGUUCCAUUGAUUCUCUAGUAAGCUUCCUAUUAAACUCAAUUACCUUCAUGGUAUCAAAGCAUCGAUCCGAUUCAGAGUAGAUCGAAGGUCGAUUGACUGAAAAGCUUUCGCAAAAUUAUCUCAAGAAAGUUUCAAAGACUUGUGUUAAUGGAAACUGUAAAUGAACAUGCAAAUGCAGAUGGGCUUAUAGGGCUCAACAAUGGUGGCCAAGCUCAAGGUUCAUCAUCCAACAAUGGAGGAUUUCCUGCGAAUCCCAAUUCCACACCGCCAAUAAAUCCCAAUUAGGUUCAUGUACGAAAGAGACAAUUUCUGGGGAGUUAUGGGGCCAAUGGGAGAGGGUGAAUGCCAUAGUUCUCUCGUGGUUGCUGAAUUCUGUUUCUAAAAGUAUUCUUGGUGGUCUAGCUUUUUCCUCUAGUGCUUUCAAUGUUUGGACUGAUCUUAAAGAAAGGUUUGAUCAAUUAGAUGGAUCAAGAACCUUUAGCCUACAUAAAGAAAUAGUGACCUUGCAACAAGGAACAAACUCUGUAUCUGUGUAUUACACAAAGCUCAAAACCUUAUGGGAUGAAUUUGAAGCCAUGGUGCUUUCUCCUGGUUGUAACUGUGAAGUUUCAAGAGGUUUUGUUGCUCAUUUGAAUAGACAGAAGUUAUACCAAUUUCUCAUGGGAUUAAAUGAGUCCUUUAACCAGGCAAGAAGUCAAAUAUUAUUAAUGAAUCCAAUUCCUACUGUGAAUCAAGCUUAUGCUAUGAUAAUUAGUGAUGAGUGUCAAAAAUCUGUUGCUUCAAGCUAUACUAACAGUCUUGGAAUGAAUUUUGUGGCAUCAAGUAAUGUGAACUCUUUUGGCAUAUAUUCAAGAACUGGUGGAAACAAGGGGAAUGAGAGUUUUAACUCUGGUCAUACUGGAGGUUAUGCAGGACCUAGUUCCCAGCUUGGGACAAAUGCCAGGUUCAAAAAGAAUUUCAAUGUAAUAUGUGAUUUCUGCAAGUGUAAGGUACAUACCAAGGAUCAGUGCUACAAGUUGGUGGAAUAUCCAACUGGGUUUAAGUCAAAGAAAAAAGUUUAUGUUAGUGGUAAUUCUGGUGCUGCAUAUAAUGUGAUAAACAGUCCAACUAUGUCACGAAAUGAUAGCUUUGUGCAUUCACCACAUGUGUUUAACUAUGGGCUAAACACUAAUGUUCCCAUGUCUCCAAAAGAAAAACAUCUCAUGACAGGUGUUACAAAUGAGGUGGAUAAGUAUGUUAAACGGCUCCAAGGGUGUACAUUUACCAAAGACCAAUAUGAACAGAUUCUUCAGAUACUGAACCAAAGUAACAAUAGUGGCAUGCCUAAAGGAGCUGAUCAUGUCAGUGCAGCUAAUAAUGCUGGUAAGGCUCUCUUAGUUUCUGAGAAUAGUGAGGUUUGGAUCAUUGACACAGGUGCAACAAACCAUAUGGUUUCAAAAAUUGACAUGAUUACUAAAGAUUUCUCGAGAAAAACUGAUAGUUCAAAACAAGUGUGUCUGCCUAAUGGAGAUACUGCACAUAUUACUCAUAUAGGAUCUUGUUGUAUUUCACCAAGGAGUAUUAUUACUAAUGUGCUGCAUCUUCCGGAAUUUAAAUAUAACUUGAUGUCUGUGAGGAAGGUAACAAGAGAGUUAGGAUGUUCAGUUACAUUUUUCCCACACUUUUGUGUUUUUCAGGAACUCUACAGUGGGAAGGUACAGGAGAUUGGUAAGGAAGAUGGAGGAUUAUAUCUACUUUUGAAUAAGCUCAUAUCAAAUCAGUUACAAGAAGAUGCAGUUGCAACAACAAGUAGUGUUCACAACAGACAUGCUAUACAGGAAUCUGAAGUAGAAUUGUGGCACAAGAGGCUUGGACAUGUGUCAUCUAGAGUCUUGAAUAAGUUGUUUUCUUUGGAUAGUCAGGCUGUUAAUAGAUCAGUGAAUAAAUGUACAGUGUGUCCUUCUGCAAAACAGACAAGUGUUGUGUUUCCCAUCAGUACUAUCAAGAGUUUAGAUAGUUUUGACUUGAUUCCUGUUGAUGUUUGGGGCCCUUAUAAAGUAGCUAUAUGUGAUGGUAAUAAGUACUUUCUUACAGUGGUUGAUGACUUCACAAGAAUGACAUGGUUAUUUCUAUUUAAGAGUAAAGCAGAUGUGUGUGUUUCUCUUCAGCAUUUUUUAUACUUUGUCAAGACACAGUUUGGAAAAACAGUUAAGUCUGUAAGGACAGACAAUGGGACUGAAUUUAUUAAUUCUGUGUGUGGCAAACUUUUUAAAGAUAUAGGGAUAAUUCAUCAGAGAACUUAUCCCUAUACCCCUCAGCAAAAUGGAGUUGCUGAAAGGAAGCACAGACAUGUGCUAGAGGUCACUAGAGCCUUGAGGUUUCAAGGUCAUAUUUCUUUAAAGUUUUGGGGUGAGAUGGUGCUUGCUGCAAUAUAUUUGAUCAAUAGAACACCUAGUAAGGUUAUCAAUGAUCUUUCACCUUAUGAGAAGUUGUAUGGAAAGACUCCAUCUAUAAUACAUUUAAGAGUGCUGGGAUGUUUGUGUUUUGCAAAUGUACUGCAAGAGUCUGAUAAAUUAGCUCCAAGAUCUAAAGCUUCUGUACACAUGGGAUACUCAGAGGUUUAGAAAGGCUAUGUGCUAUAUGAUUUAUCUACAAAAACCUUUUUUGUUAGCCGGGAUGUUAUAUUCAAAGAGUCAGUUUUUCCCUUCUCAAGUAUACAUACUGAACAGUCUAAAGCACCCUUUCUAAAUGCUCUGGAUAAUACAGAAAUUAUGUGUGAAAUUGCUCAUCAUCUUCCAUAUGUUCAUCCUACUGAUUCUCAUGAUGCAGCAGAUUCAUCUCCUACUUAUCAUAAUAUGCAAUUUCCUAACGAAGAUAUGACUAACAAUCUUCAGGGUGAGGCAUUGGUACUAGUUCCUGAACCUCAUGAUAUAGUUGAAGCUGAACCUAAUCCUGUGACUAAUAUUUUUCCUACACUUAGAAGGUCUACUAGAGAGUCCCAUCCACCUAUUUGGAUGAAAGAUUUCGUCUCACUCAACAUUAACAAAGAGGUUAAAUAUCCCAUAUCUGCAAAUGUUGCUUAUGAUCACUUAUCUGAUUCUUAUAAAGCAUAUAUUGUGGCUACCUCUUCUCUACUGGAAUCGACUACUUAUGAUGAGGCUGUAAAGGACUCAAGGUGGAUAGAUGCAAUGCAGGAGGAAAUAAAAGCUUUGGAAAGAAAUAACACUUGGGAAUUGACUGAACUACCUGCAGGGAAAAAGCCUAUAAAAUGCAGAUGGAUUUACAAAAUUAAGUACAAAUCAAGUGGAGAGGUUGAAAGAUUCAAAGCAAGAUUGGUUGCUAAAGGAUAUAGCCGAAGGGAAGGAAUAGAUUACACAGAAACUUUUAGUCCAGUUGUUAAAAUGGUCACUGUGAGAACCAUCUUGUCAUUAGCAGUAUCCAAAGGCUGGCACAUCCAUCAAAUGGAUGUAUAUAAUGCUUUCUUACAUGGAGACUUACAUGAUGAAAUAUACAUGAACCUGCCUCAAGGAUUUUCCAGUCAGGGGAAGAAGAGAGUGUGUAGACUGGUAAAAUCACUUUAUGGUCUGAAGCAGGCCCCAAGACAAUGGAAUCACAAGCUUACUCAAGCCUUACUGAAUCUGAAGUUCAAACAGAGUCAACAUGACUACUCAUUAUUCAUUAAGAAAACAGUUGAGGGAACUAUAAUGAUCUUGGUUUAUGUUGAUGACAUGUUGAUUACAGGUAGUAGUUUGAUUCUUAUUGAAGAAACAAAGAAGUCAUUGCAACAAUUUUUUAAAAUGAAAGAUCUCAGAGAGUUAAAGUUUUUUCUUGGCAUUGAGUUUGCCAGGUCCAAAGUUGGAACUGCAAUGCAUCAAAGAAACUAUGCAUUGGAACUUAUAUCAGAAGUUGGUUUAUCCGGUGCUAAACCUGCAGGUACUCCUAUUGAUGUUAAUGUUAAACUUACCUCCAAGCAAUAUGAUGAUCAAACUGGUCAGAACAUGGAAGAUCCUAUGGCUGAUCAAGGUGCAUAUCAAAAAUUAGUUGGUAAAUUAUUGUAUCUCAAUAUUACAAGACCAGAUAUAUCUUAUAGUGUUCAAACUCUGAGCCAGUUUCUGCAGCAACCUAAAAGGUCUCACAUGGAAGCUGCCCUAAGGAUAGUUAAAUAUAUCAAGCAGAAUCCAAGUCAAGAAAUACUGUUAUCUAGUGAGUCAGACAACAUACUUACUGCAUAUUGUGAUGCAGACUGGGCAGCCUGCCCUCUUACAAGGAAAUCUAUCACUGACUACAUUAUUAAGAUGGGAAAUUCUCUAGUGUCUUGGAAGGCAAAGAAACAAACAACCGUUUCAAGAAGCUCAGCUGAAGCUGAGUACAAAAGUUUAGCAACAACUGUGACAGAAUUAGUAUGGUUAGUUGGAUUGCUAACAGAGUUGGACAUGAAGAUCAAGCUGCCUGUUAAAGUAUAUAGUGAUAGCAAAGCAGCCAUUCAACUUGCUGCCAAUCCUGUCUACCAUGAGAGGACAAAGCACAUUGAAAUAGAUUGCCACUUUAUCAGGGAAAAACUACAACAAAAUCUGAUAGAUAUCAACUACAUCUCUACACAACAACAACCUGCAGAUAUUCUCACAAAAGGCCUGAGUAGAGCACAACAUGAGUUUCUAUCAUCCAAGCUAGGAUUACUGAAUAUAUUCACCCCUCCUAGCUUGAGGGGGAGUGUUAAGGCAUGAAGGAUAAAAAAGAUAAGUAAGGUUAAUUCAGUCAAUUCACAGUUUCAAAAUUAACCAACUAAUGACAGUUAGUUAACUAACUAUCAAGAUUAGGAUGCCUAUAUAUAUACUCUUAUACCUUCACACUUGUAACUAAUGAUUCAAUAAGAAAAUAUAAUAUGCAUUCUGUUUACUUACUGUCUUCUUCCUCUUCUUCUACUUUCUCUGCAACUCUAAUGUUCCAUUGAUUCUCUAGUAAGCUUCCUAUUAAAUUCAAUUACCUUCACAUACAGAGAUGCAGCUGAUGAUGAAGAUGAGAAAACUUGUAGUACUAGGAUUUGUGGAGGAAAGGAACGACUUUAUGAUUCUAAUGAUCUGUUUAAAGCGAUUAAUGUACAAUAUGUGAAAGCACUAAAACUUAAAAUUUCAGAUUAAUUCCUCAACAUGGUAUGCAUCACUUGCAGAAAUUUAACUACUUUUGUGCCGAUACUUAUCAAAUCAUAACUGAAGAUCCACCUGAAUGCAACCUUUCCACU
rnacentral:lncRNA from 1 species